rnacentral:lncRNA from 1 species
GAACUACGAUGGUUCCAGCACAGGCCAGGCUCCUGGAGAAGAUAGUGAAGUGAUCCUCUAGUAAGGAUUUUAUCUUUAUUGAUUUUUUUACCCUUUUCCUUUUUGUUCUUGUCCAAAUCCUUAUUGGUUUACUUUCCUUGAUGUAAUGCAACAGUCCUCAAGCUAUUUUUAGGGAUCCAUUUAGAAGGGGCAACAACAUCCUUGUGAGUUCUAAUUUGCCACUAUAUUAUGUUUGUUACAGCUGGGGUUUAUCUUGAACUUUCAUAGCUCAAGACUUCAUUUUUUUUACAUGGGUUGAAUUAGGUCAUUUGUGAUGCUUACACCCCAGCCGGUGAGCCAAUUCCAACAAACAAGAGACAUGCCGCCGCUAAGAUUUUCAGCCAUCCUGAUGUGGUUGCUGAAGUGCCUUGGUACACUAUUCAACAGUAUUUAAUUGUUUACAUCCUUUUAUAUAGCCUCCAUAAGAAGGCCAAAUGAUUGUGAGCACUAUAAUAGGAAUAGCGGAAGAUGCUUGAUUGCAUAUGGCAAUUACAUCUUCGUUAUACUCUAAUUUUGUUUCUUGCUUUAUAAUCCUGUGGGUUAACUUUUAAAUCUGAUUUUGUGAAAAACAGGUAUGGCAUUGAGCAAGAAUACACCUUGUUGCAGAAAGACAUUAAAUGGCCUAUUGGCUGGCCCAUUGGGGGCUUCCCUGGCCCUCAGGUAUUUAAACUCAUUGCCAUGCUUUAGAAUUUUUGAGCCCUUUUCCUUUUUCUUUACUUCAACAAACCGUUAUGUACUUGUUUUAAUGUACGACCACAGAGUUUCUGAAUUCUUUGGUGCUACCAAUCACCGUUUGGUGUACCACCACUAAUUAGGUUACAUUUAUUACCUACCUAUCAUAGGGACCAUACUAUUGUGGUGUUGGUGCUGACAAGUCAUUUGGAAGAGACAUUGUUGAUGCACAUUACAAGGCUUGUUUAUAUGCUGGUGUCAACAUUAGUGGUAUUAAUGGAGAAGUUAUGCCUGGCCAGGUAUGAAUAUGGAACUUGUUUUCAAUUAUUACGACCAGUUUUUAAUCUUUAGGUUGUUUCCAAUACUGAAAUAUUUUCAUGUUAUUUAGUGGGAGUUUCAAGUUGGACCUGCAGUUGGUAUCUCAGCCGGAGAUGAAUUGUGGGUUGCUCGCUACAUUUUGGAGGUAAUAUGAUUUUGAGUACUUGAUUACAUAAAUUUAUACUAUUAUUGCAGUUUGCAUUGUUGGCUCAAAUACCCUACAUUUUGUUUUACAGAGGAUUACAGAGAUUGCUGGAGUUGUGCUUUCUUUUGAUCCUAAGCCAAUUCAGGUAACUUUUUGCUAAUCUGGUUUUUAGGGCUUAAUGCAUAGCUUAUUUAGCUGUUCUUGGUUUGUGUAUACUUAUAUUUCUGUUUGGUUUUAUAGGGUGACUGGAAUGGAGCAGGUGCACAUACAAAUUACAGGUAUGGACCUAUGCCAUUUUAUAAUAUGUUUCUUUGAAUCUGUUAUAAUUGGACACCCAAUUACUCUUCAAUGUUUGUUCCUUCUUGUGUCUUUAGUACAAAGUCAAUGAGAAAUGAUGGAGGCUAUGAGGUCAUCAAGAAAGCAAUUGAAAAGCUGGGGUUGAGGCACAAAAAACACAUUGCUGCAUAUGGUGAAGGCAAUGAGCGCCGACUCACGGGGCGACAUGAAACAGCUGACAUCAACACUUUCAAAUGGGUAAUGGAAAUGAACAUUGCAGCACAUUCAUUGUAUAUGAUAAUACAUUUCUAAAACCAAAAGUUUUUACAAUGAACUGGCCUAAUAGACACAAAUUCUUGUCAUUGGACAGGGUGUUGCAGACCGUGGAGCAUCUGUUCGCGUUGGCCGGGAUACAGAAAAGGAAGGAAAAGGGUAUUUUGAGGACAGAAGGCCUGCAUCAAACAUGGAUCCAUAUGUUGUUACUUCCAUGAUUGCAGAAACCACCAUCCUGUGGAAACCAUGAGCGAAACUCUGUCUGGAAUCAAGCCAUUUUACAUUUCAAACAUUGUUAUUUCUAGCCUUUUGUGGGAGUAUAGGAAGAAAUGUCUCAGU